UGUCAAGUAACUCCGUCAAUUGCUUUCGAAGUUCUUCCAGCUCCGGCGGUGCCAUUCGAUAGGGUGCCAUGGAUGGUGGUUUGGCACCCGGUUCCAACUCGAUCUUAUGAUCCACCUCCCUCCUAGGUGGUAAUUUCUUGGGUAACUCCGGCGGCAUCACGUCCUUAUUUUCUUCAAGGACAUUCUUGAUGACUUCGGGCACAUUAUCGUCACCCACAACUUCCUCAACUUGGUCCUCCAUUUUUAAUGCUGCCAAAUACGUCGCCUCUCCUUUCUUU
rnacentral:lncRNA from 1 species